rnacentral:tRNA from 1 species
UAAAUUGUAGCCAAAAGUUGAGGCACUUAGCUGUUAACUAAGAAUUAAGGGGAUAGAUACCCUCCAGUUUAG